rnacentral:rRNA from 1 species
UACGGAGGAUCCGAGCGUUAUCCGGAUUUAUUGGGUUUAAAGGGUGCGUAGGCGGAGCGUUAAGUCAGUGGUCAAAUUGAGGGGCUCAACCCCUUCCCGCCAUUGAAACUGGCGCUCUUGAGUGGAAGAGAAGUAUGCGGAAUGCGUGGUGUAGCGGUGAAAUGCAUAGAUAUCGCGCAGAACCCCGAUUGCGAAGGCAGCGUACCGGCUCCACACUGGACGCUGAGGCACGAAGCGUGGGUAGU